UGGGGCCCUUUCUAAACAUUGCCAAGUCGACGAAGUCUUCGGACUUAGUGGCGGACGGGUGAGUAACGCGUGAGAAUCUGCCCUCAGGAGGGGGACAACAGCUGGAAACGGCUGCUAAUACCCCAUGUGCCGAGAGGUGAAAUGUAUUUCGCCUGAGGAUGAGCUCGCGUCUGAUUAGCUAGUUGGAGUGGUAAUGGCACACCAAGGCGACGAUCAGUAGCUGGUCUGAGAGGAUGAGCAGCCACACUGGGACUGAGACACGGCCCAGACUCCUACGGGAGGCAGCAGUGGGGAAUUUUCCGCAAUGGGCGAAAGCCUGACGGAGCCAGACCGCGUGAGGGAAGAAGGCCUUUGGGUUGUAAACCUCUUUUCUCAGGGAAGAAGAAAGUGACGGUACCUGAGGAAUCAGCCUCGGCUAACUCCGUGCCAGCAGCCGCGGU
rnacentral:rRNA from 1 species